rnacentral:lncRNA from 1 species
CAGAAGGUUAGCAGAAGGUUGGCAACCAACCUAAAUGAAGAGCCGUGUGUAACUCACACGCGGCUCUCAAAUUUCCUCUCCUAUAAAUAAGAGAGGAUUUUCCUCAGUUGAAAAACACACACAGCAGAAAGACGAAGAAGAAAAAAAUAUAGAGAGAGUGUGUCUAGUUUUAGGAAGGGUUUCCUAAAACUAGGGGAGAGAAAAAUAGUGAGGAAAUUAUUAUGGAG